rnacentral:tRNA from 1 species
GGCUCUGAAGUAUGCAUUACGUUGAAUUGCAAAUUCAAAAAAGUAACUUAAGUGUUGCCGGGGCUU